CAAGGAAUUUUGCGCAAUGGGCGAAAGCCUGACGCAGCAACGCCGCGUGAGGGAAGAAGGCCUUCGGGUCGUAAACCUCUUUUGCAGGGGAAGCAACUGACGGUACCCUGCGAAUAAGCCACGGCUAACUACGUGCCAGCAGCCGCGGUAAUACGUAGGUGGCAAGCGUUGUCCGGAUUUACUGGGCGUAAAGCGCGCGCAGGUGGCGCGCCAAGUCCCGGGUGAAAUCUCUCGGCUCAACCGGGAGGGGUCUCUGGAUACUGGCGUGCUUGAGGGGAGCAGAGGAGAGCGGAAUUCCCGGUGUAGCGGUGAUAUGCGUAGAUAUCGGGAGGAACACCAGUGGCGAAGGCGGCUCUCUGGGCUCUACCUGACGCUGAGGCGCGAAAGCGUGGGGAGCGAACCGGAUUAGAUACCCGGGUAGUCCACGCUGUAAACGUUGGGCACUAGGUGUGGGAGGUAUUGACCCUUCCGUGCCGCGGUUAACGCACUAAGUGCCCCG
rnacentral:rRNA from 1 species